GACGAACGCUGGCGGCGUGCUUAACACAUGCAAGUCGAGCGGUAAGGCCCUUUCGGGGGUACGACGAGCGGCGAACGGGUGAGUAACACGUGGGUGACCUGCCCUCAGCUCUGGGAUAAGCCUGGGAAACCGGGCCUAAUACCGGAUAUGACUCCAUGACGCAUGUUGUGGGGUGGAAAGCCUUGUGCGGCUGAGGAUGGGCCCGCGGCCUAUCAGCUUGUUGGUGGGGUGAUGGCCUACCAAGGCGACGACGGGUAGCCGGCCUGAGAGGGCGACCGGCCACACUGGGACUGAGACACGGCCCAGACUCCUACGGGAGGCAGCAGUGGGGAAUCUUGCGCAAUGGGCGAAAGCCUGACGCAGCGACGCCGCGUGAGGGAUGACGGCCU
rnacentral:rRNA from 1 species